rnacentral:rRNA from 1 species
UAUUAUACUAAUGAAUAUUAUUAAAAUCUGAAUUAUUAAUAGAUAUGAUCUUUAAAUUUGAAGAAUUUGGCGGUAAUUUAGUCUUGUUAGAGGAACCUGUUUUUGAAUCGAUACACCACGUAGAAUCUUACUCAUCAUUAUAAAAGUUUAUAUACCAUCAUUAGCAGAUAAUUUUUAAAAAAUUAAUUAUUAAGACUUAAAAAAAGGGUAAUUUAAAUUAGAUCAAGGUGUAGCUAAUAGGUGAGUUAAAAUGGGUUACAAUAAAAUUUAUUUAUAACGGAACGAGUGUAAGAAAAUAGAUCUUGUAGAAGGAGGAUUUAAUUGUAAUAUAAGUUUAAUAAGCUAAAAAGAUAUAAGCUCUAAAUUAU